UACGUAGGCACCAAGCGUUUGUCCGGAUUUAUUGGGCGUAAAGAGCUCGUAGGCGGUUCGGUAAGUCGGGUGUGAAAACUCUGGGCUCAACCCAGAGAGGCCACCCGAUACUGCCGUGACUGGAGUGCGGUAGGGGGAGUGGGGGAAUUCCUGGUGUAGCGGUGAAAUGCGCAGAUAUCAGGAGGAACACCAGUGGCGAAGGCGCCACUCUGGGCCGUAACUGACGCUGAGGAGCGAAAGCGUGGGUAGCAAACAGG
rnacentral:rRNA from 1 species